AUGCCAUCAAAACUAACUUUGUGUUUUUUUUCUUCUUCAUUUGCAUAUUUAUGGGACACUGAAGACCAUUCAAAGCUCACGGCAGAAAAGAUGGCACAGGUGUGGAAGGUCGUCGAAUUCAAAGAUAGGAGCACUACCAUAGUGCCAAGCAGCUGGUUGGAGGAGGCAGGGGAGUCAUGGAAUUGUUUCUGGCCUCCUAGUUCUUAUGAUCAUAUCCGCCUCCAGAAGGCAGUCGCGCACCACCUUCCUCCAGGUGCAGCGUGGGACGUGCACGGUGACGUGAGGGUCUUGGUUAGCUGUGCAACAUAUGUAAAGGCAAAGGACUACCUGAAAAAGUCCUUACUGUGUUUAACAUCAGACAUACAGUCAGAGGCUGAAGACCCUAUCAGAAGGAAAAAAAGGCCAAACUCACGCUACCUGCAGGAGCCAGCUGGAAGAGUCCAGACCACUACGGGCCCGCCGCAACACUUUUUUGAAGGUGUGGACACUGAUGACGAGGCACCACCCCCCCCAAGAAAAACAGCACGACAAUCUGUAGAUGUAGGGCCAGACAUCAGUAGUGAGUGGCUAUUUGGGCCAUCGACCACCCAAAGAGGUAAUUUUACUUUAAAUAAUUGUUCCUCAUACAUAGUUUUCCCCAUCUUCCCCGUUGAUCGUUGCUUCAAACCAACACGUUUUUUUUGA
rnacentral:lncRNA from 1 species